rnacentral:rRNA from 1 species
UACGUAGGGUGCAAGCGUUAAUCGGACUUACUGGGCGUAAAGCGUGCGCAGGCGGUUGUGCAAGACAGAUGUGAAAUCCCCGGGCUUAACCUGGGAAUGGCAUUUGUGACUGCACGGCUAGAGUGUGUCAGAGGGGGGUAGAAUUCCACGUGUAGCAGUGAAAUGCGUAGAUAUGUGGAGGAAUACCGAUGGCGAAGGCAGCCCCCUGGGAUAACACUGACGCUCAUGCACGAAAGCGUGGGGAGCAAACAGG